rnacentral:rRNA from 1 species
GACGAGGGAUCCUAGCGUUGCUCGGAAUUAUUGGGCGUAAAGCGGGUGUAGGUGGCUUGGUAAGUCGGGUGUGAUAGCCCAGGGCUCAACCCUGGAAGUGCAUUCGAUACUGCUGAGCUUGAGUACUAGAGAGGUUACUAGAAUACCUGGUGUAGUGGUGAAAUACGUAGAUAUCAGGUGGAACACCGGAGGCGAAGGCGAGUAACUGGCUAGACACUGACACUGAGACCCGAAAGUGCGGGGAUCAAACAGG